rnacentral:rRNA from 1 species
GCAGAGCAUCCUACGGGAGGCAGCAGUGGGGAAUAUUGGCACAAUGGGCGCAAGCCUGAUGCAGUCCAUGGCCGCGUGUAUGAAGAAGCCUUCGGGUUGUAAAGUACUUUCAGCUAGUGAGGUAAGGUGGAUAUGUUAAUAGCAUAUUCAUUUGACGUUAGCUGCAGAAGAAGCACCGGCUAACUCCGUGCCAGCAGCCGCGGUAAUACGGAGGGUGCGAGCGUUAAUCGGAAUUACUGGGCGUAAAGCGCAUGCAGGUGGUUUGUUAAGUCAGAUGUGAAAGCCCGGGGCUCUAACCUCGGUAAUUGCAUUUGAAACUGGACAAACUAGAGUACUGUAGAGGGGGUAGAAUUUCAGGUGUAGCGGUGAAAUGCGUAGAGAUCUGAAGGAAUACCGGUGGCGAAGGCGGCCCCCUGGACAGAUACUGACACUCAGAUGCGAAAGCGUGGGGAGCAAACAGGAUUAGAUACCCUGGUAG